UACGUAGGGGGCAAGCGUUGUCCGGAUUUAUUGGGCGUAAAGAGCGUGUAGGCGGCCAUUCAGGUCAGCUGUGAAAACUCGAGGCUCAACCUCGAGACGCCGGUGGAAACCAUCAGACUAGAGUCCGGAAGAGGAGAGUGGAAUUCCUGGUGUAGCGGUGAAAUGCGCAGAUAUCAGGAAGAACACCCGUGGCUAAGGCGGCUCUCUAGUACGGUACUGACGCUGAGACGCGAAAGCGUGGGGAGCGAACAGG
rnacentral:rRNA from 1 species